UACAGAGGUCUCAAGCGUUGUUCGGAUUCAUUGGGCGUAAAGGGUGUGUAGGUGGCGCCGUAAGUCGGGUGUGAAAUUUCGGAGCUUAACUCCGAGACUGCAUUCGAUACUGCGGUGCUUGAGGACUGGAGAGGAGACUGGAAUUUACGGUGUAGCGGUGAAAUGCGUAGAUAUCGUAAGGAAGACCAGUGGCGAAGGCGGGUCUCUGGACAGUUCCUGACGCUGAGGCACGAAGGCCAGGGGAGCAAACGGG
rnacentral:rRNA from 1 species